rnacentral:lncRNA from 1 species
UGAAGUCGUGACCAGAUCUGCUUCUGUAAGAUUGAAUGGACACGAAAGACGGGCGAAAAAAAUCUACAAAAGUAAUCAUUUCUGUCUAAUUUAUGUGCAAGGAACGACACUUGUGUUUGUGUGAUUGUGCUUGGGCUGGGCCUCUCUCACUCUUGCUAAUGUUGUUGUUAGGAGGCGUGGCCACGACGAGGCCCAGUAUUGGCGAGCCCACCGUGCUGGCCGACCCACCGCCGCUGCCGCUGCCGCUUCCACUUCCGCUGGACGGGCCGGCGG